rnacentral:rRNA from 1 species
UACGGAGGGUGCAAGCGUUAUCCGGAUUUACUGGGUUUAAAGGGUGCGUAGGUGGGUUUCUAAGUCAGUGGUGAAAUCUCCGAGCUUAACUCGGAAACUGCCAUUGAUACUAUAGAUCUUGAAUUAUCUGGAGGUAAGCGGAAUAUGUCAUGUAGCGGUGAAAUGCUUAGAUAUGACAUAGAACACCAAUUGCGAAGGCAGCUUACUACGGAUAUAUUGACACUGAGGCACGAAAGCGUGGGGAUCAAACAGG